GGUUUUUUCAAUUUGAUCUCUCAUUUUCAAACGCAAACAGAGCCUGCUUAUUGUGGUUUGGCGACUCUUGCAAUGGUCUUGAAUGCUCUUGGCAUAGAUCCCUGUAGAAAAUGGAAAGGGCGUUGGAGGUGGUUUGACGAAACCAAUGCUGGACUGCUGCGAGCCACUGGACAAGGUUAAGGCCAAGGGUAUAUCAUUUGGGAAGGGACAUGCUCUACAUCUGAGGAAUGGAUACUAUUGAUGAAGCUACUACUUGCAUGAUGGUUCAUGCUCGUGUCAAGGCGCCAGAGAGAACCAGCUUUGCUCCAUACCCUGGGAUAACCCUUAUCACUUACACUCAAUUUUCUAACCUUAUAAGAAAAACGAAAAAACAGAUGAUUCAUUUACUAUAACAGAUAAGAGUCCUGCACAUAUAGUUCAUAUGUAUUUAUAGUCUUGUCUAGUUAGUAACUCUUAAUCAAAACAUGGCAAUUGAUUCUUUUUCAUCAUGUUAUAUCCUGAAUCGUGUAAGGAUACUUCUUACUAAUGCUCUGUCACACACGCCAUGUUCUAUAGGGACGUGUUCUUUUUGUUGCAAAAUUAUCUUAAGAAAAUGAUGAAUAAAAAAGAUGGUAAAUUUUAUCACAUUUAGUAAUCCUCCCACCUUUGCUCGGGCGUAAAAUAUAGGAAAUGUGUGGAAAAAUGGAGUGAAAAUGAGGGAAAAGGGUUGCCUAGAAACAAAGUUUCAUUAUGCUCGGAAAAAAUUAUCUAUCUUACAUGAUAUGCAAAGAGAGUGGAAAAUGGAUGAAAAUCUGUAUUUCACCAUUAAUACUUUUUUUUGGCAGAGCUGCAAACAUGAUGGUUGGACCAGUAUUGGGAAAUACUUGACUGAUGAUGUCCCAUUGUUGCUUAGUUCCCAUAGCAUCAAGGAUGUAAAGGAUGUCAUUUCCACUGUUUUCUCUUCUCUACCUUCAGAUUUCACAGAAUUCAUUAAGUGGGUGGCAGAAGUUCGCCUUGCAAAGGAUGAUGGUCUACCUCUAAGUGAACAAGAGAAAGUAAAACUCGAACUUAAGGAAUAAGUGUUGAAGCAAGUGCAAGAUACUAGCCUUUACAAGCACAUAACAGAUGCGCUGUCUUCAAAGAAUUGCUUUUGCAAGAGACAACAAAAUUCUUUGCCAAAUACUGUAGCAAGUGCUUGUUGCAACAAUGCAAGGGAAAUGAGACAUACCGAUGAUGAGAACAAUGCUUGUGCCACGAAAAUCUCGAGAGCAGAAGCAAACGGUGCUGGAGAAGUCAGCGUUGAUGUUGGUUCUGAGUCACAUUGCUACUCCAGCGUGCACCAGGCAAGCAACCAUGUGUUGACGGUGCUUCUCUUUGCCUUGCCCCCAGAGACAUGGCGUGCCGUUGUAGAUGAACAAGUGUGGGAGGAGAUAUGUGGUCUAGUUUCAAUUCAGAAACUUCCUCCAUUGCUUCAAGAUGAGGUUUUGCACUUGAGAGGUCAACUCUUUGUGCUCAAGAGAUGCAACAAUGACUGCGUAGAACAUGAUUUAGAUGCUCUCCUCAUUUAGAUUUUGCUAUACAUAUUUCCAUAUUACAAUGUUAUAGUAGUAGUAUUUAUAAAAGGUGAUAUACAUGACAUCACCUUCCAAGUUUAGUACUCCCAUUAUUAAAGAACAAACUAUAUGAAGAAUUGAAAUAAACGUACUCUGGGAUCUUUAGUUUCUUUAUUUUGAUCUA